UACGAAGGGGCUAGCGUUGCUCGGAAUCACUGGGCGUAAAGCGCACGUAGGCGGAUUGUUAAGUCAGGGGUGAAAUCCUGGAGCUCAACUCCAGAACUGCCUUUGAUACUGACGGUCUUGAGUUCGGGAGAGGUGAGUGGAACUGCGAGUGUAGAGGUGAAAUUCGUAGAUAUUCGCAAGAACACCAGUGGCGAAGGCGGCUCACUGGCCCGGAACUGACGCUGAGGUGCGAAAGCGUGGGAGCAACAGG
rnacentral:rRNA from 1 species